ACCCAGACCGCCAGCUAAGGUCCCAAAGUCAUGGUUAAGUGGGAAACGAUGUGGGAAGGCCCAGACAGCCAGGAUGUUGGCUUAGAAGCAGCCAUCAUUUAAAGAAAGCGUAAUAGCUCACUGGUCGAGUCGGCCUGCGCGGAAGAUGUAACGGGGCUAAACCAUGCACCGAAGCUGCGGCAGCGACGCUGAUGCGUUGUUGGGUAGGGGAGCGUUCUGUAAGCCUGCGAAGGUGACCUGUGAGGGUUGCUGGAGGUAUCAGAAGUGCGAAUGCUGACAUAAGUAACGAUAAAGCGGGUGAAAAGCCCGCUCGCCGGAAGACCAAGGGUUCCUGUCCAACGUUAAUCGGGGCAGGGUGAGUCGACCCCUAAGGCGAGGCCGAAAGGCGUAGUCGAUGGGAAACGGGUUAAUAUUCCCGUACUUGGUGUUACUGCGAAGGGGGGACGGAGAAGGCUAUGUUGGCCGGGCGACGGUUGUCCCGGUUUAAGCGUGUAGGUGUGUGUUCCAGGUAAAUCCGGUUCACUUUAACACUGAGGCGUGACGACGAGGCACUACGGUGCUGAAGCAACAAAUGCCCUGCUUCCAGGAAAAGCCUCUAAGCAUCAGGUAACAUCAAAUCGUACCCCAAACCGACACAGGUGGUCAGGUAGAGAAUACCAAGGCGCUUGAGAGAACUCGGGUGAAGGAACUAGGCAAAAUGGUGCCGUAACUUCGGGAGAAGGCACGCUGACACGUAGGUGAAGUGAUUUACUCAUGGAGCUGAAGUCAGUCGAAGAUACCAGCUGGCUGCAACUGUUUAUUAAAAACACAGCACUGUGCAAACACGAAAGUGGACGUAUACGGUGUGACGCCUGCCCGGUGCCGGAAGGUUAAUUGAUGGGGUCAGCGCAAGCGAAGCUCCUGAUCGAAGCCCCGGUAAACGGCGGCCGUAACUAUAACGGUCCUAAGGUAGCGAAAUUCCUUGUCGGGUAAGUUCCGACCUGCACGAAUGGCGUAAUGAUGGCCAGGCUGUCUCCACCCGAGACUCAGUGAAAUUGAACUCGCUGUGAAGAUGCAGUGUACCCGCGGCAAGACGGAAAGACCCCGUGAACCUUUACUAUAGCUUGACACUGAACAUUGAGCCUUGAUGUGUAGGAUAGGUGGGAGGCUUUGAAGUGUGGACGCCAGUCUGCAUGGAGCCGACCUUGAAAUACCACCCUUUAAUGUUUGAUGUUCUAACGUGGACCCGUUACCCGGGUUGCGGACAGUGUCUGGUGGGUAGUUUGACUGGGGCGGUCUCCUCCUAAAGAGUAACGGAGGAGCACGAAGGUUGGCUAAUCCUGGUCGGACAUCAGGAGGUUAGUGCAAUGGCAUAAGCCAGCUUGACUGCGAGCGUGACGGCGCGAGCAGGUGCGAAAGCAGGUCAUAGUGAUCCGGUGGUUCUGAAUGGAAGGGCCAUCGCUCAACGGAUAAAAGGUACUCCGGGGAUAACAGGCUGAUACCGCCCAAGAGUUCAUAUCGACGGCGGUGUUUGGCACCUCGAUGUCGGCUCAUCACAUCCUGGGGCUGAAGUAGGUCCCAAGGGUAUGGCUGUUCGCCAUUUAAAGUGGUACGCGAGCUGGGUUUAGAACGUCGUGAGACAGUUCGGUCCCUAUCUGCCGUGGGCGCUGGAGAACUGAGGGGGGCUGCUCCUAGUACGAGAGGACCGGAGUGGACGCAUCACUGGUGUUCGGGUUGUCAUGCCAAUGGCACUGCCCGGUAGCUAAAUGCGGAAGAGAUAAGUGCUGAAAGCAUCUAAGCACGAAACUUGCCCCGAGAUGAGUUCUCCCUGAGACUUAGAGUCUCCUGAAGGAACGUUGAAGACGACGACGUUGAUAGGCCGGGUGUGUAAGCGCAGCGAUGCGUUGAGCUAACCGGUACUAAUGAACCGUGAGGCUUAACCUUACAACGCCGAAG
rnacentral:rRNA from 1 species